GAAAUACUCCCUCCGUCCCAAAAUCUUUGUCUUAGAUUGGUCUAAAUAUGGAUGUAUCAAGUCACGUUUAGGUAUUUGAUACAUCCGUAUCUAGACUAAUCUAAGACAAGAAUUUUGGGACGAUGGGAGUAUAAA
rfam:Triticum aestivum genome assembly, contig: Triticum_aestivum_CS42_TGACv1_scaffold_221629_3B